CCUACGGGUGGCUGCAGUGGGGAAUAUUGGACAAUGGGCGAAAGCCUGAUCCAGCCAUGCCGCGUGUGUGAAGAAGGCCUUCGGGUUGUAAAGCACUUUCAGUGGGGAAGAAAGCCUUGGGGCUAAUACCCUCGAGGAAGGACAUCACCCACAGAAGAAGCACCGGCUAACUCCGUGCCAGCAGCCGCGGUAAUACGGAGGGUGCGAGCGUUAAUCGGAAUUACUGGGCGUAAAGCGCGCGUAGGCGGUCUGAUAAGCCGGUUGUGAAAGCCCCGGGCUCAACCUGGGAACGGCAUCCGGAACUGUCAGGCUAGAGUGCAGGAGAGGAAGGUAGAAUUCCCGGUGUAGCGGUGAAAUGCGUAGAGAUCGGGAGGAAUAACAGUGGCGAAGGCGGCCUUCUGGACUGACACUGACGCUGAGGUGCGAAAGCGUGGGUAGCAAACAGGAUUAGAUACCCGUGUAGUC
rnacentral:rRNA from 1 species